rnacentral:lncRNA from 10 species
UGGGUAAUCCAAGCCUCGGCAGGUACAGUUCCUCCCUCAGUGGCACCCGAGCUCUGUGAGGGCAAGACUUUGUUCGGUUGUGGGCUAUGCCCCCAACCCCUCGGACAGUGCCUGCACAGGUGGACAUUUUUGUUGGAUGAAGGAUUUUCUGUUAAAUGUGUCUGGCACACACAGAAAAACAAAGCCCAGCAGAUGCCGUUCCAUUGUUUGCUGACUUUCAUUGAUUCUAUGAGAAGUCUGCAGUCUUUUGCAGCGUUGUUUUCCUAUGUAUAAUUGUCUCCUCCCACCCCACUCACCCCAGCUGCUUUCCACAUUCUCUCUCUUUGAUUUUCAGCAGUCUGCCCAUGAUGUGCCUAAAUAGGACUUUCUUUGCAUUCAUCUUGGCUGGGGCUCACUGAACUUUCUGAAUCUGUAGAUUAAUUUUCUUUUUUCAAUAAACCUUGG